rnacentral:rRNA from 1 species
CCUACGGGAGGCAGCAGUGAGGAAUAUUGGUCAAUGGGCGCGAGCCUGAACCAGCCAAGUAGCGUGAAGGAUGACUGCCCUACGGGUUGUAAACUUCUUUUAUAAAGGAAUAAAGUGAGGCACGUGUGCCUUUUUGUAUGUACUUUAUGAAUAAGGAUCGGCUAACUCCGUGCCAGCAGCCGCGGUACUACGGAGGAUCCGAGAGUUAUCCGGAUGUAUUGGGUUUAAAGGGAGCGUAGAUGGGUUGUUAAGUCAGUUGUGAAAGUUUGCGGCUCAACCGUAAAAUUGCAAUUGAUACUGGCAGUCUUGAGUACAGUUGAGGGAGGCGGAAUUCGAGGUGUAGCGGUGAAAUGCUUAGAGAUCACGAAGAACUCCGAUGGCGAAGGCAGCUUACUAAACUGCCACUGACAUUGAGGCUCGAAAGUGUGGGUAUCAAACAGGAUUAGAUACCCGAGUAGUC